AUGGCGGCUCAUGGUGCCCGCGUCCACAAGGCUGGCAACGAGCUCCACAGGCUGGAGGCGUGCGCCCACCUUCCGGCGAGGCUCCUCGUGGCGCUGCCGUCGUCGAUAGAGCGCGUGCACGAGGAGACCGGCCGUCGAUGUCGUGUGUUGGUAGGACGGAGGAGCACGCCCUGGGCAACUUGGAGCAUGACUGGAAGCUCGCGGUGGCUGCAGUCUUCGACACCGCCCACGCAAGGAGCUGGGGCGGCGGCCGAGUUGGCGAAUAGAUCGAGCACAAGAGGGCUCGGGCGAGGUAAGCAAGGAGGGGAAGGAGGGUCAGUGGUGGUACAGCGCUCCGGUGGCGAGCUCCCCGGCGGUAGCAGCUCCGGCGGUUGA
rnacentral:rRNA from 1 species